CACUCUCAAAUCUCUCCUUAAUCUGCUGGAAAUCAGAAAAAAGAUCAGAAUCACUCCAAGUCGCUUAAGUGAGCAUAACUUCAUCAUUUCUCAACCUUUUUCUUUGAUUCUUCUUUCUAAUCACUUGGAACAAGCCUAGGUAUGAUUCCACAAGUUUUUCAUGGAAAACCAAGGUCGGGAACAUCACCAAAACAGGCUCUAAAGUGGACAUGGUGUUCCAUUCUAAUCAACCAAACACUCGCGAGAUAUCAAGUAGGAAGCUUGCAAAACCAUUGAUAGACGAGAUGAUGUUAUGAGAAGAAACACAAUUUAGGUGGACUUAGAUACACACCUAGAUUAAUUUAUCAUUUUGAUGUUAUGUUUUGAAACAAUGUUGUCUUUUAUUUUGGAUCUUUGUACGACAAUUUAGUAUUGCAGUAAAAUUUGAAUUUAAAUUAUAUUGUCACAUAGUGUUAUGAAGUUUUAUUUUGGAUCUUUGUACGACAAUUUAGUAUUGCAGUGAAAUUUGAAUUUAAAUUAUAUUUUAAUACAUGUUGCAGGUUGA